rnacentral:lncRNA from 1 species
UGGUAGCUAGCGAGGGCUUUGAGACGGCCGAGAGUUUGAGCGCCAAGGCUCUCUCUCCCCAGGGGACUCUGCAACCUGACUAGGUGCUCCUUCCCUGAGCAUAGUAACAUUCCAGGGAGCUGCCCGGGGAAGCUUAACGCUCGAUGCGGGUGGUAGGAAUGUAUCAUGGUGGGAGAGUCAUGGCAGCAGGCAGCUGGAACAGGACACUAAGUAAGAACACCUUCAACUACAAGCAGAAGUCAAGGAGAACUGAAAGUGGGUCCCUGAAGUCAGCUCUGGAAAACUGAGAAGAGUGCUGCGUGCAGAAUGCUUCGCUGGAUGUUUUUUUCCUCUAUUCUCACAGACAACUGGAACCUUGAGAGCCAAGGGAGAUUGUGGAGAGGAUGUGAGCAGAUGGCCGCUGAGGAUAGCUGACCGGGUGGGUGGGCUGGAACCUAGGCCAGGACCUGCCACCUGAGGAUUGUGCCUGCGAUGUCCAUAUGAUUGUGAACAGCUAAACAGGGAGCUCUGCUCUGUUGAAAAUCAUAAAGUUGAAAAUGAAAAGAGAUAAAACCUUAAGCACAGAAGAAUAUUUUGUCUUUGGUGAAAAGAACAACUUAAGAUUAAUUUUAUUUUUAUGCUGUAUAUGCGUGUGGGUAUGUGCAUGCAAAUUUGGGUGACUCCAAAGGUCAGAGCAUCAAAUCACUUGGAGCUGGGAUUAUAGGCAAAUGAAAGCUGCCAAGCAUAGGAAUCUAACGAAUGUCCUCUGUAUGAGCAGAGAGUACUCCUUACUGCAGAGCCAUGUUUCCAGCUUAAGGAGGGCUUUUAGAAAGAAGAUUGAUAGAGAAUACAUACUUAAUAGUUUGAUGUACUAAAAAGGUUAAUUUUUAUUCACUAUAGACACUAGAAAUAAUAUUUACAAUUUAUAUAAUGCAUGUGAUUAUAGAACUAGAAGUAACAAUAUUAAAUAUAAAUAAAUUAUUGUAAGUCAGAUAAGAGAGAUGGAAACCCCAGUAGGAAAAACCCAUUAAAGUAACUAAAAUGUGGACAA